UGCCCCAUGGCUGAGUUGGUUACAGCGUCCGACUGUUAUAUUCCAAGCGGAAAAAGGAAUGUGAUAUCGGAAGGUCGAGAGUUCGAGCCUCUCUGGGGCAG